UUUGGGAGAAGCUUAAAUGUUCUUAGAACUCUGCUUAUACCCCAGCCAAUUCCGGCACGGAUGCCGGAAUAGAUGCCACCGACCACGGAUGGUCGAUUGGCAUCGUUGGCGUAUUUUCCCUAUAAGUUACUCAGAGUUCUUAGAACAUUUCGCUUCGUACAAC
rfam:Firmicutes bacterium CAG:882 genomic scaffold, scf239